ensembl:lncRNA
GAAUCAUGUUCAAUUUCCACAAUAAUAGGAAUUUACCUAAGCCAGGUAUGCUGCUGCCUACUCCAGGGCCAGUUCCAACUCCACCUCCAGGCCCAGCUGCUGUUCCAGCUCCGCCUCCAAACCCGGGUCCAACUCCACCUCCAAAUCCAGGCCCAGCUGCUGUUCCAGCUCCGCCUCCAAACCCAGGCCCAGCUCCAGCUCCGAAUCCAGGUCCAGCUCCAAACCCAGGCCCAGCUCCAGCUCCGAAUCCAGGUCCAGCUGCUGUUCCAGCUCCUCCUCCAAAUCCUGGUGUGCUGCCUAGUCCUCCUCCAGGAAGUCCUACACCACCGCCCCCCAAAGCACCUCCUUGUCCAAGUGUACCUGCCCCAGCUCCAGUGCCACCUUCAGGAAAAAGACACCUCCACCAGGACUGACUCCGCCACCACUGGGACCAACUCCUGUUCCCCCAGGCCCAACUCCUGCACCACCAGGACCAAAUCCUGUUCCCCCAGGCCCAACUCCUGCACCACCAGGACCAAAUCCUGUUCCCCCAGGACCCACUCCUGCACCACCAGGCCCAAAUCCUGCACCCCCAGGCCCAACUCCUGCACCACCAGGUCCAAAUCCUGUUCCCCCAGGCCCAACUCCUGCACCACCAGGUCCAAAUCCUGCACCCCCAGGCCCAACUCCUGCACCACCAGGUCCAAAUCCUGCUCCUCCUGGCCCAACCCCUGCACCACCAGGUCCAAAUCCUGCUCCUCCCGGCCCAACCCCUGCACCACCAGGCCCAAAUCCUGCUCCUCCUGGCCCAACCCCUGCACCACCAGGCCCAAAUCCUGCACCCCCCGGCCCAACCCCUGCACCACCAGGCCCAAAUCCUGCUCCUCCUGGUCCAAACCCUGCACCACCAGGCCCAACACCUGUCCCUCCAGGCCCAAAUCCUGUUCCCCCAGGCCCAUAACCUGUUCCCCCAAGCGAUGUUCCAGAACCACCUGAAGCGAAGAAACAAAUUUCAGUGAUUAAAGCGAUGAAAUGCUGAUUAUUAAUACAAUCAGUAGUUACUUGUUUUGGGGGGUUUGGGACCAGUUCCACCAGUUCCUGGGUAUUGAACACCACCACCUGGUCCAUAACCAACACCUGCAUCAGGAAACAGCUUUGUUUAGUUUCACUUUAAGGUAAGCAUGUUGUUGAAAAAACGUAGUAUGAGGAUCAAUGAGAUCCAUAAGCUAUGCAGAGAGGGCAACAUAUAGUAGGAAAAUUACCUCCAGGAGUGUACCCUGUUCCAGUUCCCUGACCUAGGCCAGUGCCAAGGCCUCCUGCUCCAAGAACUCCUCCACCCAAACCUCCAUAUCCUAGUGAGUAGGAAAAAAAGAGAAUCACAAAGGGCUGGUGCUAAAAUUGGUUGGUGCAAACUUCAUGCAACAAAUUCUGGAUCGGACAGUGAUCAACUGACUGUGUUUCUCUGCAACAUAAUUUUCAAAGUGUACUGUUAACACAUGUACCUAACAGAAACCUCAUGUGGAUUAACUUGUUCUGUGUGAAGGUGUUUAUUUGAAGUGUGUAUGUUAGGACUGUUAUGUUGGUAAUAUUUACAUGAUUGCAGAGAGGAAACAGAAGACUGUGUGAAUAACAUGAAUCUUUCUGUGUCUCUUGUUUGUAUUUUACCUGUGAGGUAAUAUAAGCAACUGUAAUUAUUUGUAGUUAUGCUUAGUUAGAAAUGUAAUUGUAUUUAUACCUCUGCGCCUCCCUUUGCCUGGAUGUUUACAUCCUGUUCUUUAUUGUGGACACACACACACACUAACUGUACAUUGCUGUGGAUGAAAGUGUGUUUGGCUGAGAUGGCCAAACUUUGGUAAACUGGAAAAUAUGACA